UCAAACUUGGUCAUUUAGAGGAAGUAAAAGUCGUAACAAGGUCUCCGUUGGUGAACCAGCGGAGGGAUCAUUAAAGAGUUCUAUAACUCCCAAACCCAUGUGAACAUACCGUACGUUGCCUCGGCAGGUCGCGUCUACCCUGUAGCACCUUACCCUGUAAGACCCUACCCUGUAGGACUUACCCUGUAGGACCUACCCGGUAGAUGCGGGUAAGCCUGCCGGUGGCCCAUAAGAAAAACUCUGUUUUUAGCAUUGCAAUUCUGAAUACUAUAACUAAAUCAGUUAAAACUUUCAACAACGGAUCUCUUGGUUCUGGCAUCGAUGAAGAACGCAGC
rnacentral:misc_RNA from 1 species